GGGGAAUAUUGGACAAUGGGCGCAAGCCUGAUCCAGCCAUGCCGCGUGAGUGAUGACGGCCUUAGGGUUGUAAAGCUCUUUCACCCACGACGAUAAUGACGGUAGUGGGAGAAGAAGCCCCGGCUAACUUCGUGCCAGCAGCCGCGGUAAUACGAAGGGGGCUAGCGUUGUUCGGAUUUACUGGGCGUAAAGCGUACGUAGGCGGAUCGUUAAGUCAGAGGUGAAAUCCCGGAGCUCAACUUCGGAAUUGCCUUUGAUACUGGCGGUCUUGAGUUCGGGAGAGGUGAGUGGAACUGCUAGUGUAGAGGUGAAAUUCGUAGAUAUUAGCAAGAACACCAGUGGCGAAGGUGGCUCACUGGCCCGAUACUGACGCUGAGGUACGAAAGCGUGGGGAGCAGAC
rnacentral:rRNA from 1 species